AUUGAAGAACACCUUGCCUACCUUCUCACUGCAUUCUUUUGAAUGGAAACAGGGCUUUCCUGUUUUCAUUUUGAAAAUAGGCAUUGCAUUACAUUUCGAUGCGUCUUCCAAUUCCAAUGCCUAUUUUAAGAUGAAAACAAGGAUACACUGUUUUUGUUUGAAACUGUUGUGAAGGAAGAUAAGACUCCCGAGUUCUUCAAUU
rnacentral:pre_miRNA from 1 species